GAUCAUAGUCAGACAAAGAAGAGAACAAAAAGAACAUCACAGGAGUCCACAACCUCAGCAGUUCAGAAAGCAGUGGUCCAAGAAAAAAUCAAGGAAAUUUUCCAUGGAGUUGAGAAUGGAGAAGGAUUUUCAACACCGAUAGCCCUGUCAAAUCAUGUCGAACGCAAUAAAGUUGUUGAGCCAGCUGUAGAGAUAUCAACUAUUGAAAUUGUUGGAACACCCAUCCACAAUCCAGAGGUGAUAACAACGCAAGCAAAGAUACAUGAACCCACUCAGGAACAAGAUAUUAGUGAAAACAAUGGACCAGAAAAGAGUUCGAGCCUGAGUUACAUGUUAGCAGCUAAUCUUGCAAGUGUAUUGGAUACUACAGCUCGAGACAUCCAUUCAAGGCAGGAAUACAAUGAACACGUACCACCAUCUUUCUUAGGUUUUCAAGAUAAUGUUGUUCAUACAGAGCAAACUCUUCACAAUACUUCUACAGAUCAUCUUGAGGGCAAGCAAGGGAACACACCUACAUUGGGUUAGGAAGAAGGAAACAUCCACAAAGGUAGAGACCACAAGGAGGAGGAGAAGGAACUGGACAUAGAUAUAAACUUGCCACCAACAAAUAAUAACCCGGGAAUGCCCGAUUUAAAAGGGAAAAGUCCACAGGACUUUUUGCAUCCCUUGGACAUCGCAAGGAGGAAAUACUUCUUUGAGGAUGAUAGCAUACCAACGUUUAGGAUUCUUGAAGAUGUUGAUGAUUGCGGGAAUGAAAUAUUAGAGCCAGACUUGUGGCGACCAAUAUGGAUGGAUACCAAAACAUACAACGCCAAGAUCGAGAAUGCUAAAAGAAGAACAGAAGGAAACACAAUCAUCGAAGGAGUCAAGGGAUACUGCUCAUAGGAUGACGAAACACUGCAAGGGAAUUUCUCUGUACAGUGUGCACAGGGAGAGCCGGUAUCAAGAGAUUUAUGCAAGUCAAGAGACUUUCUCCAAGGAAUUGAUGGCAUUAUUGACCUGACAUCUCCUGUUGCACACACGACGACCACUUGGGACAAUGCAAAAAUUUGUUACUCACCAAUGGAUUUCUCCAACAUUGCUGCCCCUGAAAGUUCAUCACAACAGCACAAGAAGG